rnacentral:rRNA from 1 species
GCAAGUCGAGGGGUAACAGGGAUUGCUUGCAAUCCGCUGACGACCGGCGCACGGGUGAGUAAUAUAUAGGUAACGUGCCUUCAAGAAGGGGAUAACGUUUGGAAACGAACGCUAAUACCCUAUAUGCCUUUAAGACUUAAGUCUGCAAGGGAAAUAUUUAUAGCUUGAAGAUCGGCCUGUACAGUAUCAGUUAGUUGGUGAGGUAAUGGCUCACCAAGACAAUGACGCUUAACUGGUUUGAGAGGAUGAUC